GUUCCACACUGUGCUUCUCUGCUGGCAAAGGGAAGGAUAGGAGAGAGCUUGAAUCUAUCAGCCUCUGGAGUGAGAACCCCUCGUGCAGGCUCGGGCAGGAGGGCAGCAGCUCUGCUGCUCAGAGGGGCCUCUGGGCAGACACAGACAUUUCCAGUCUCUUUGUGACUCCCAAGGGUCUCCCUUUUACUUCUGGAGAGUUGCACCCUUGAGUUACACUGCAUGGAGAGCUCUCAACCCACUUUUGACAGGUUUGGGCAAAGUGGAGGCGUGAAGCUCCUACAGACUAAACUGCAGAGACCAGAGGGAUCAGGGUAAUUUCAGGGCAACAGCCAUUGGAACACUUGUGCUUUUUCCCUUCUGGUUCUAAAUGUUCAAAUUCUCACAAAAAUAUGAGACGAACUCUCCGUGGAAUGACUGUGCUGCUGAAAACAUUUGGAAUUUCCUCUUUCAUCUGGUUCUUUCUUUAUUUUUUAAUUAUUUUGAAGGCUCUUUACAUGAGAGCAGAUUUACAUUCCUCUCUCCCUGCUGCUCACUUCCCACCUGAAAUCUUCGGCUGCUCUUUGCAGUUCCCAACACAAUGGUGAGCGAAAUCCUGAACAGAGCAUUCAAACUUGAGGUGAGGAAAAGCAACAGCAGCAGAUGGGCUUGUAAACAGCAGAGACCUGGCUCAGGCACAGAGGUCCUGGUGGAGUGGGAAGGAGCAGGAGGGUUGGCAAACACUGAGCAAUUUCCAUUUUCUGGGCUGAAAUGUGGGGAUCUGGGGAGGGGAGGGUGGUGUAGGAACAGCAGCUCUCUCCCAUUCUGGCACAGUCAGCUCUUCCCAGCAGAAGCUGUUCCUGUCAGAACUUGCAGCAAAUGGGAGAAGAUGGGAAAAUGGGGGACGUUUUCCAGCAUCAGGGAAUUUGUGGGUGAUGAAAACAAGAUUUCCAGCAGCCCUUUUGCACUAGUCUUGGUUUCUAAAGAGGUAUUCUGCUGUUUUCCUGCCAUUCUUCCCUUCCCUUGAAUUCCUUCUGAAACUCAGUCAGCAGAGUUGGGAGUAACUUCACUGAUACAAAAUUCGCAAAAGUUACCUGAAAGUUUGCAGCUGGACAGAGGAAGAAGAAACCCAGAGCAGAGAGUCCCCACCAGUGGAAGAAAAAAGCAGAAUGAGGAGGCUCAGUUCCAAAGUUUAUUGAGCCCAGAGGGAUUUCUACAAACCACAUGGCAUCAGGUGUCAAAGAAAUGAGGAAUGAAAACCAACGUGGAACAACGGAGCAGCGUAAAACUCCCACAGCCCAGCGAGGCUCCAGAAAUGUUGGAGAGGCUUAAAUGGCCCCUCAAGGUGAACGUGCUGGCCACGAGCAGCCUCUCCACCUUGAUCUGUCAUGAGAAAGUCCUGAGUCAUAUCAUGGGUGUUCUUUCCUUGGACAGGGAGACUCUGCACAUCCUGUGGAGUCCAGGAGUCACAGAAAACAGAAACUGAUGAAAGAUGGUUGCGGGCUGGGAUUUUGGAGAGGUUUGUGCUUGAUGUAGGGUUGAAGGGCUGUUGUUUCUGUUUUGCUUGGGGAUUGGGAGGGGAAAGGUUACUGAGUCCCUGAACCUUAAUGUAAAAUGAUUAGAAUCUGGAACAGAUUCCAAAACAGACAUUUAGGGACUACUAAAUGUACAAAGCAGCUUGGAUAUCUAUCACCAGAGUUCAUCCAGUCCUAGAAAAAGCCUCUGAAAUGGGCAGUGCUUUAACAAAGUACAGAUGUCUGGGGACUCAAAAUACAAGGAAAAAUUAUGAGGAGGAAGAGAUAACACUUUCUCCAUUUCUUAAAGAGGGAGAAAAUGCCAGAAAGUUAUUAAUUUUAUUCCCAGGACUGUGGUAGCUGGACAAGGAUCCAAGGUUAAGGUGAUCCCCAUGACCUGACACUUGCAGAACAAGUGGGCUCCCUGCAUCCUGGCACGAGGAGUUCUAGGGAGAUCUGUAAUCCCCAGUAAUAACCUCAGAGGUUAAUUGGCGUCUGGAAAUGAGUUUAUUAGGUAGGUGGGCUAGAGGAGGUUUAAUUACGUGUUUAGAUCAGUGUUGCUUCAAGCAUUAAUUUUGCCAGGGAAAGGAGGGUGUAAUGUCAGAAGCGACACUUUCACACUGCUUAGAUUGAGCCAGGGGGGACUGGAGAGAGCCCAUGGACUGCUGGGGAAGAUGGGAAUGAGCUCUGAGUAAAAGCAUCUCUGUUGUUUUGAGCCAAAAUUCCCUGGACUUCGUGUAAGGCCCAUUUUCCUGAGAAUGGCACUUGGCAGUUUUUGGACAGUCAGGCUGUCAGAAGGAAUCCCUCUGAAAUACACAUUGGAUUUCUUUUUUUGGGCCUUAUUUCUCUUUUCUGCUUUGUGUCAUAUUCUCCUCGCGGCUUUCCAGAGCAGAGUUACUCUUCCACUUGUUCCCUUUUGCCUCCUGCUGAGUCAAUUCCUUUCUUUUCCAACAUUAUUUGUACUGUAGUCACUCCCAGAAUCUGGGAAAUCAUCCUCACAAGUCUCCCCAUCUCCUGAGCUUACUGCCAACUCUCCCACUAAAGCUUUGAAUUCUUUGUUAUAAAGAAGAAUAAAAGGCCAGCAAAGUGCACCUCGACACCCAUUCAGGUGCCAUUACCCUGUAAUUCUUUAAAAACUCUGCAUUUAUAGUCACUGGGAAGUGCUGGACUGGGAAGCCUCUGGACUAAAUUGGUGUUAGCACAUGAAAGAGAACCAGUCCUGCAUGGGGCAGCAGGCUCUGGGCAGGUUUGGUCACCAGCUCGCUCGGUGGGCUCGGGACAAUCAUUCCCUGCCUGUGCCCCUGCUGGCAGUGCCCAGCUCCAGCUGUGCCCGUUUGGAUGAGGAGUUCCUAGGGACACGCCUGUCCCACACCCGUGGAGUUGCAGCAGAGCCUGAGGUGAGCAGGGAAUGCAAACAGGGAUGAGAGGAAUGCCCAGACAGCAGGGCAAGCUUCCCAGACAUGCUGUCCUGAGAGCACGGCUGGAACCCUGGGUGCUGCAAGCUGUCUCUGUUCCCAGGCCUUGGCUUCUCUCUGCCAGCCAGCAAAGUGUUCACCACUUCCAAAUACAGCGGUGAGGUGAACUGGCAGCUUCCCAGUUCCACUGGGAAAUGGGGGCAAAUCGCUAAACUCACUUUGUAAACUCAAUCAGAGCCUGAUUGGAUCCUCCAUCCUGCCUGGAGCUGUGCCACCUCCCUGCAGGUGCAAAGCUGCUUGCGUUUUGGAGCCAUCCCAUCCCAUCCCAUCCCAAACCAAACCAAACCAUCCCAUUCCACACCCUCCCACUCUGCCCAUGCUCUAGCCAGCUCCAAUUUGCCAGCAGAGAAAUCCAUUUUCUCCCCUCCUCCCUUGUUUGAGGAGCUGCAGACACAUCCCUUGGCUUUCCCUCUUCUCCGCAGGCUUUUCCAGAGCCCUUUCCUCCCAUUGUUUGUUCGUUCCCUGCACUCCAUCCCAUCUUUUGCCUCCCUCCCUGGUUUGAUACAGCAUCUUGCUGGUCCUGCCUCACACUCUGAGCAGGGGUAUUAGAUGGAUUCCCCAUAGAGUAUAAAUUGAAUGGAGAGAAGAAGUGGCUGGUUUCCCAGCAAUAAUUUAUCUGAUUAAAAAAAUACUCCCCAAACUCCCGCUCCUCCACUGGUCCUACGCCCCCUCCAAAAAGCACCAUUGGCAUCAGGGUUGGUGUUUGAACUGUGUGAUUCAAAUCGCUGGAAGAGUGAUUUAGAUGGGAAAAUAACUGGCAAAGGAUGGUUCUCGGGGGAUUUUUUCCCAGAGUGUUGGGGCUGAAAUUUGGAACCUGGGUUGUUGUGUGGAGAAGGCAGAGAGUAAAUAAUUCUGAGUCAAGUACCUGGGUGAUUUGUACCUUUACCCAUGUACCAAACAUGGAUGCACACGUGUGUGCUCUCACGCGUGUUUGCCCAUCACACGCAUUGCACGGGGGAGCCCAACUCAGGCACAGCAAGCUGCUCCUGCUGUUCCCUCUCUCCUCUCUUUUCUUCUCUUACCUCAGGGCUGAUUCCAAAUAAGAGAAGGAAUCUGCCUCACAAAAUGCAUGUUGCCUUGUUUGUUACUUGCAUGGGCUUCAAUCCUUCCAAACCAUUUUCUUCUCCAACAUUCCUGUUGUAAUUAUGGGAUGGAAAAGUCACCCCAAGGCCCCUCUCAGCAGGGGCCCGGGCAGUGGGUUUGGUUGGUGCCUGUUCCUGUGUGGGUGACAGGCAGGUAUUUGCAGGUAUUUACAUCCCAGACUGCUCCCAGAUCGCCGGGAUUUACAACAGGGGCUCCCUGGUGCUGUCAAGGGCAGCACUGCUACUGACACCCGAGUGUCUGCAAGCCAUUCCAGGGCCUGGCGUGCUCCCAGCUCCCCGGGCUGCUGGCUGCUGGACAUACCUCUGCUCACAGCUGCUUUCUGGCCACUGGGUGAAACGGGAACGGGCCCGGCUGGAGCUUUUCAGCCUCGGAGCACCCUCAAGCCAGUGGCCAGGGCUCAGGUUUCCUGCGUUUUGACAGGAGGGCUGCUCAGAUGAAACCUUUCUCUUCUCCUUCUGGAGGAUUUACACUGCCACAAGUCCUCAUUUUUUCCAGAUGUUUUACCUAAUAAAUCAAGGAGUCUCAUCAGAGGAUUGGGAUCCAAAAGCUGUUACCAUGACUUCAAAGGCAUGGGCUGGAGUGGAAAGAAGUGAUGCAGACAUUUUAUACCACUCUGUGUGCACUGAUCAUGAAUACACUCUGCUCCCAGGAUUUUUUUUCCUGUGGAUAUGAGAACUCCAACCAUGAUUAAAUAAAUUGGUGCUGUGCUCCUUCAGCCAACCUUUGCUGAAAAGAAUGGAGCUGCAGGAGACUCGGGCUGUAGGGCUGGCAGGAACCAGGCUGGGACUGGUCCUGAGAGGGGUUGAGCUCUGCCAACCCCUGUCCAAAAUCCAGGACCAUUAACUCAGGGCUGAACUCACUCCAUCUUUUCAGAUCAGUAGUCAACUGCAUAUUUUCUCCAAGUGCUGGUUUAAGCAAUUCCCACAUAAAGGAAUCAGAUGUUCAUCUUCUUCAGAUGUUGGGAGAGAAAAAGAUAAAAAGAGUUACAUGGCUGUAAAAUGUGAUUGUGACUAUUCAGACCAGUUUGUUCCUUGAUCAAGAAUGUAAGUUUUUUUUUUUUCUUUAAUGUAGUGAAGGCUUUCUUUUUACAGUGUCUACAUGGUGUCAUUUUCUUUUGCUGUUCCAUUUCUAAAGAUAACUGUGUUUGGAGAAGCUGUUACGUGUUUCUAUCACUCCAUAGCAUGGGGUGCUGCAGGAGAACAGAAUGAAGAAAAGCAGCUGAAGAAAGGAAACCUGAUCCUGUGGUGGGUGAGCAGCAGGCCCACAGGGUUGGCUUUUGGUUCCCCACUUCCCCAGAGCACUGGCCUGGCAUCAGAGAUGCCCAAGCUCCUCACCCUCUGCCUUGUCUUCCCUUGGAUCCUGUUGGAUUUGGAAUCACAGCAUAGUUUGGGUUGGGAGGGACCUUAAAGCUCAUCCAGUUCCACCCCCUGCCAUGGACAGGGACACCUGCCACUGUCCCAGGUUGCUCCAAGCCCCAUCCAACCUGGCCUUGGACACCUCCAGGGAUAGGCAGCCACAGCUUUGUCUCCCCUCUCUGCUCAGUGCUGAAGGGCUGAGGGCAUGGUGCCAGGCAGGAACAGGCUCCUGGGGGCAGGAGGCACAGGGUGGCCUGGUUGUGGGGAACCCCUUCAGCAUGGACUGAGGUGCCCAGGUCGAGUGCUCAGUUUCAGGAGAGUUUUUGGGCUUCCUCCUUCACAUGGCUGAAGCACACCCAUGGAGAGGGGACCCUCUCACAACCUCCUGGGGGUACCUGCAACAGGUGAUGUGAGCAGAGACCUUGUCUUGUGCUGCCUCAGAAUUCUGGGAUGUCAAUAAGUUGUCACUUAACAACAGUGGGAACUGCAACACUUGGAGCUGUGGGAAAAUCCUGUGCACCCCAAGUAGGCACUGUAGUCAUGUAAAACACACUUAGGAUAUGAAUUCACUCCAGAAGACUGUAUUUUGUGUUUUAUGUAUUUUGUGUUUCCCAGGCAGUGGGGAGCAAGAGGGCAUUUGGUUCUGCAAGAUGUUUAACCAGAUCUGAAAACCUCACCAUGGAAGUUUAGGAAGAGGCGAUGUCCCACUGCAGCCAGGUGGAAGGGAGUGCCAGGUGUAGAUCUCCUGUGUUCUAAUGACUUCAGAAAAAUUGCUGCUUGUCUUCCCUCCCCCACGAGGCUGAAUCCCAGCACCCCAGAUUGUCGUGACUGCCUGGGAUUGGUGACAUCUCCAGUGAAAUGUGUUGGAGCAUCAAAACAGAGUGGGAGAAGCACAGCCUGGCUCCGGGAGCCAAAAAUAGGUGAAGUGCAAGAUAUCUUACCUUAGUCACUCCUAAUGGGACAGCCAUCAUUCACUUGUCUCGACUGAGAAUUAGUGAAACCUUUCAUGUGUCAGAGCCACCUGUAGCCAGGAACAAGACCAAGAUCUUCCUCUUCCGGGUGUGGAAACAGCGAGGAAUCCCCCAACAGAUCUGAUUCCAGCCGUAGGACCCAACACCUCAGCUGACCCUUUCAGGUAACACACAGAAAGGGCCAGGCUGUGCUGCUGUUGGUUCCUGCUGCAAGCAAAGGUGAGGUUUGUGAGGUGUGCUGGGAUCCCCAGGAGCGAUGGGCUGUAUUUUCCAGGCAGCCUCAGCUGUUGGUCUAAGGUUAUUUCUUUGAUUUCCCAAGCCCAGUGGCAAAAGACCAUUUCUGUGUGCUAAGCAUCAAUUCUUUUCCUUUUCUUCUUAUCCUUUCUCCUCUCCACAGUUUUCCUCUUGCUUUGAAUUCUCUCAGACCGCUGCCAUCUCACUUCCCCUGGCACAGGAGAAAACGUGAUGGUGUUUACAGAGCAGAAGCACUGGGACUCAGGAGAUGUGAAAGGUGGUCCUGCUGGCUCUACCUCCAACACCUCUCCAUGGUUCUGACUUCCUGUCAGGAUAACCUGGACUAAAAUCCCUCUGUGCUUUUCCUUUUCCUACAGUGUCUAACACAACCUCAGAUUGGAUUCCAGUAAGCCCUGCAUUUUGGAUUUUAGGUUCCCUCCAUCUACCUCUGAAAACCCUAAAUAAACAAACAUUGGAUUAGACCUCAACAGAUCCCUUGCUCAGCAAGGGAAGCCUUUAAAAGCAUUUUACACCAACUGCCCUGUUUGUGUUUCAGACUCUGUCAACCUGGCACUCAAGGAGCUCCACCUUCCUCUCAGCCAUCUCAGGGAACUCAGCUCAGUGUUUGGAAGGUUUGCCUCCAUUUAUGACCCUCCCUGAUUCCAGUGAGGAGCUGGAAUUGCUGUUGACCUCAAGAAUGACAGAAGUAUAUGCUGGGGUUGGAGGGUUUCUGGCAUAUGACCUGCUAACCUAGAAUUUGCUUGGCAAAGUCCAGAGGAUGACUUUUAACCUCAGAGCAGUUUGCAAAACCACAUCUGUGACCAAUAAAUGUAAAAAAUUAAUGAAAAAAUAAAUCUAGCCCCUACUGAAGGAUGAAAGACAGCACACCUUGCUGGGCACUGGUGCUGGAAUCAGGAUGGAGAUUGGGACUAAUCGGACAGGCCAUGUGCCAGAUGUUGUCCAUGAACGGAGCCAAUGCCUCACACAAGGGAGUCAGCACAGCAGGUUAAACUGAAGGUAUCUCAUAGCUCUAAGUCUUAAACUUAACGAGCCACGUCUUUAUUUGUGCUGCAGCCCCUUCUUAGCCCAAAUUGCCUUUACCAGCUGCCAGAGGAUGCCUGGUAAUGGAAAAUUCUCUGGAUAACAAUAAAUUGGUGUAACGAUUGAGUGUCACCUCACAUCCUGCUAAGCAAUAGAGAAAUCACCAUGAGAAAAAUAGGCACGACCAGAGUGGCACUGAACAGUGCAAUCCUAAUUCCAUCACCCUUCUUGUGGGCGACUGAUAACCCAGAGCAAUUUACAGCUGCUCUGAAGCGGCUCCAAGUCUCAGCAGGAGUCGGGAAAGCUCAGUGUAGCCUCGGGACUGAGAAGUCGAAAGGAGCAGGGGAGUUGUUGUUCCAUAACCUUGCCUUUGCACCAAAACCAGGGGGCUGGUUUGGAAUGGGAAGCACUCCAAGCAAAACACAAAAUUUUAAUCACCGAAAUGAAGGUCCUCCUCUGGCUCCCUCUCUGGAGAAUAGUCUGUCUCUGAUGAUCGUGCACAGACUCCCAAAGAAGGUAAAUUUUGGAUUUUAAUCUCUACGUCAGCGUGUGAAUGACAGCGUUAAAUCUUGGCUGUAAGGCUGAGAUAUCUCCAAGAGGAGAAAAACACUUUUUCCACUUAAGUGGCUGAGGUAGAGGAGGUAAAUAUAUUGUCUCCCACUAUUAAAGGGUGAGGAAAUCAUUUAUACAUGUGUAUUACACCUUUUCACCUAACAGUGGAGUUCUUUUUUAAAUUCAAGAGUCUAAAAGUUUAGAAAUACCAACAUUAAGGUGGCCUAUGCAACUGUAAUUUGUCCCUUCCAUGCAUUUGCAUUAUGAUACAGUAUUUAAUUCUAAUUAGAUCACAUGCUGUUCUUUCAACAGGUUCCUGGCCUCACUCAUUGUACAGAAUGGACUCUGCUCACUAAGUAAUAAUUUUAUUUUCUCCUCGCUGUUCA